GACGAACGCUGGCAGCGUGCUUAACACGUGCAAGUCGAACGGAAAGGCCCCUUCGGGGGUACUCGAGUGGCGCACGGGUGAGUAACACGUGAGUAACCUGCCCUUGACUUCGGGAUAACUUCAGGAAACUGGGGCUAAUACCGGAUAGGAAUCCUUGCUGCAUGGUGGGGGUUGGAAAGCUUCGGCGGUUUUGGAUGGACUCGCGGCUUAUCAGCUUGUUGGUGGGGUAGUGGCUUACCAAGGCUUUGACGGGUAGCCGGCCUGAGAGGGCGACCGGCCACAUUGGGACUGAGAUACGGCCCAGACUCCUACGGGAGGCAGCAGUGGGGAAUAUUGCACAAUGGGCGGAAGCCUGAUGCAGCAACGCCGCGUGCGGGAUGACGGCCUUCGGGUUGUAAACCGCUUUCAGCAGGGGCGAAGCUUGUGGUGACGGUACCUGCAGAAGAAGCACCGGCCAACUACGUG
rnacentral:rRNA from 1 species